CUGCUGCGGGCAGAUGAAGUGGACGUGGGAAUCCAUGCCCCCGGCUGUGAGCAGGCAGCCUUCGCCGGCAAUGAUCUCCGUGCCGGGGCCGAUGAUCACGUCCACGUCCGGCUGCACGUCCGGGUUGCCGGCCUUGCCCAUGCAGGCUAUGCGCCCGUCCCGAAUGCCCAGAUCGGCCUUGAUGACGCCGAGCGCCGCAUCCAGAAUAACGGCGUUGGUGAUGACCGUGUCCAUGGCGCCUUCGGCAUUGCCGCGCUGGCUCUGCCCCAUGCCGUCGCG
rnacentral:sRNA from 1 species